rnacentral:lncRNA from 1 species
GAUGAACAAAUGGAAAAUCUAAUGAAAGAGAUUACAUUUAUUUUCCAAGAGCUUCCCAAAGACAAGGAUACGCAAAAGACUGUGAUUAACAAAGCCUAUCAGUGCAUCACCCUUCUGUACCUCCAACACCUGGUGCAGAGUAACCAUGGGAAGCUGGUGAAGAGAUGGGAUUAUGUGAACAAAAGAGUGAUGCAUGAUGCCGAACUCCUUCACUCCAUCUUCUCAGUCCUGAAUCCUGAUGUUAAACAGUGGAACAUGAUACUGAUUAAAGUGAGAGAAGUGCUGGAGUGCAGCGACAUUGAAAGUCUCAAGAUAAUAGUCAGUGAGAUACUGAGGGACAACGCCAAUACAAGUGCUGCUGAGCACCUUCCAGCCCUGCUGCGCUGGAAGGGAGGCCUGUCAUGGAGACUGACCCGGGAGYUUCUGGAGGCAAGCCAGGAAGUGUACCCCAUUGACCUCUCCCAAACCAGGUCUGCACCCUGGUUUGACUGCCUUCUUUGCUGCUGAGUGUGUGAACUGGGACGUUUCAGGCAAAGGACAAUAACGACCCCACUCUAACAACAUGACCCUCAAGUUCUCAACCGACAACACAAUAUUUGGGAACUAUGUUUACAUGUCUUCGUCAACUUUUUAAAGGUAUUAUAUGGCAAGUUAUUAUUUAAUGUCUUAAAGAAGAAAAUAAAUAUGUGUCUGAAAUUGGAAUUAAAACUGCCUAAUGUUUUUCAUUUUGAGGUCAAGUGAUUUUAAUCCUCAUCAAAAAUGCCUCAUGGAAAGACUUCAUGUGUAGUGAGUCAUGCCCUGUAGAUGGAGACAAAGGCAGUAAGGCUAUCGGUAAUUGUGCUUCCCCUGAGAAAGGAAAUCCCCUGACAGUCUUCUGGGCUUGUGAGAGUAGUACUCAAAUAUUGGAAAUUCCAAAAUGUACACAUACAGUAAUCAGUAAGUCAAUUUGAAUGCAUUUUGGAUGGCUCCAUUGGAGAGGUAGGAUGGUAUUUAGCUUAUCUUUUUUUUCAAUGGACAGUAUGGUGUUUCCCUUUAUAUCAUUAUCACAAACUAUUAUCAAAUCACUGACAGUCUUCCAGUGGAGAUAAAGACAUUAACCUGGAAGAAUUGGCAGCAUGAUUCACUUGAAACAUCUAUCCUGUUAACAACCAGGCUGUUAAUGUGGUUUCCUUCCUCCUUCCAAAGUCAUAGGUACACUACCGGUCAAAAGUUUUAGAACAUCUAGUCAUUCAAAGGUUUUUCUUUAUUUUUACCAGUUUCUACAUUGUAGAAUCAUGGUGAAGAUGUCAAAACUAUAAAAUAACACAUAUGGAAACAUGGAGUAAACAAAAAGAAGUGUUGAACAAAUCAUUUAUUUUAUAUUUGAUAUUCUUCAAAUAGCUAUCCUUUUCCUUGAUGACAGCUUUGCACACUCUUGGCAUUCUCCCAACCAGCUUCAUGAGGUAGUCACCUGGAAUGCAUUUCAAUUAACAGGUGUGCCUUCUUAAAAGUUAAUUUGUGGAAUUUCUUUCCUUAACGCAUUUGAGACAAUCAGUUGUGUUGUGACAGGGUAAGGGUGGUAUACAGAAGAUAGCCCUAUUUGGUCAAAUAUCAAGUCCAUAUUAUGGCAAGAACAACUCAAAUAAGCAAAGAGAAAUGACAGUCCAUCAUUACUUUAAGACAUGAAGGUCAGUCAAUACGGAAAAUUUCAAGAACAUUGAAAGUUUCUUCAAGUGCAGUCGCAAAAACAAUCAAGCGCUAUGAUGAAACUGGCUCUCAUGAAGACCGCCACAGGAAUGGAAGGAUGGAUGCUGCAGAGGAUAAGUUCAUUAGAAUUAUCAGCCUUAGAAAUUGCAGGACAAAUAAAUGCUUCACAGAGUUCAAGUAACAGACACAUCUCAACAUCAACUGUUCAGAGGAGACUGUGUGAAUCAGGCCUUCAUGGUUGAAUUGCUGCAAAGAAACCACUACUAAAGGAUAACAAUAAUAAGAGACUUGCUUGGGCCAAGAAACACGAGCAAUGGACAUUAGACCGGUGGAAAUGGGUCCUUUGGUCUGGAGUCCAAAUUUGAGGUUUUUGGUUCCAACUGCCGUGUCCUUGUGAGAUGCGGUGUGGGUGAACGGAUGAUCUUCGCAUGUGUAUUUCCAACCGUAAAGCAUGGAGGAGGAGGUGUUAUGGUGUGUUGGUGCUUUGCUGGUGACACGGUCUGUGAUGUAUUUAGAAUUCAAGGCACACUUAACCAGCAUGGCUACCACAGCAUGCUGCAGCGAUARACCAUCCCAUCUGGUUUGGGCUUAGUGGGACUAGAAUUUGUUUUUCAACAGGACAAUGACCCAACACACCUCCAGGCUGUAUAAGGGCUAUUUUACCAAGACGGAGAGUGAUGGAGAGCUGCAUCAGAUGAACUGGCCUAUUAUUCUACAAUGUAGAAAAUAGCAAAAAUAAAGGAAAACCCUUGAAUGAGUAGGUGUUCUAAAAAUUUGGACCGGUAGUGUAGCUUACUGGUAAAGUGAGUGUUUACCUGGAACUGAUACACAAAAUAAAUCAUGGUUGGCUAGACAAGUGCUUAGAGUGUAUACUUUCCAUUUUAAUUGACAGAAUGGUAACAAUUACUUGGAAUCAUUGACUAACCAAUUGAAGGGAAAUCCUUGAGUAAGGCAGAAAAUACUAAAUAACCACAAUUGUUGAAUCCAUGAAGGAGAAAUUGAGAAAUGUCAACUACACAGAGGUGCCUCACAUACAUGUAAUGAAUUGCUCUUUUUAUUACAUAAAUAAUUCAACAUGCAAAAUACAACAAAAUCAUUAAGAAGCAGUACAAAGUUAAACAGCCCCACUUCACACAGAUGAGUAUGCCACAGGGUUUCCAAAGUCUGCAUGAUCCACAGCACUGACUAAUUUACUCCAUAGGGAUUAGCUUGAGUACAGGCUUGAUAUCUCCAAUAUGAUGUAUUGUUARAUGUUUACCUCUCUUGUAGUACUAUGGAGCACCUGCCUACCCUGCUGCAUUGGAAGGGAGGACUGUCACAGAGACAGACCUGGGAAGUUCUSGAGGCAAGCCAGGAAGUGUACUCCAUUUCCCUGUCCCAAACCAGUCUGCAGCCUGGUAUGGCUGCCUUUUUUACUGCUGAGUGUGGGAACUGGGAAGUCUCAGGUAGAGGACAAUAACGACCCCCAUUCUAAACAACAUGACCAUCAGGUUCUCACUCUACUGCACAAUAUUUGGAACRCUGUUUACAUGUCUUUGUCAACUUUUUAAAAAGGUACUAUAUGGCAAGUUAUUAUUUACUCUUAAGAGAAAUUGGAAUUAAAACUACCCAAAGUUUWUCAUUUUCAGGUCAAGUGUUUUAAUCCUCAUCAAAAAUGCCUAAUGGAAAGACUUAGAACCAUUAGUGCCCUGUAGAUGGAGACAACGGCAGUAAGGCUAUCAGUGAUUGUGCUUCUUCCGCUGAGAAGGGAAAUCCCCUAACAGUCUUUUUGGGUUGUGAGAGUAGUACUCCGAUAUUGGAAAUUCCAAAAUGUACAGUAAUUCACAACACAUACAGUAAUCAGCAAGUCAAUUUGAAUGCGUUUUGGAUGGCCCCAUUAGAGACCUAGGAUGGUAUUUAUUUGAUCUUUUUCAAUGGACAGUCCCAUACACAACAUGCUUCCUC